GACGAACGCUGGCGGCGUGCUUAACACAUGCAAGUCGAACGAAGAGCGAUGGAAGCUUGCUUCUCUCAAUCUUAGUGGCGAACGGGUGAGUAACGCGUAAUCAACCUGCCCUUCAGAGGGGGACAACAGUUGGAAACGACUGCUAAUACCGCAUACGAUCUAAACUCGGCAUCGAGGAUAGAUGAAAGGUGGCCUCUACAUGUAAGCUAUCACUGAAGGAGGGGAUUGCGUCUGAUUAGCUAGUUGGAGGGGUAACGGCCCACCAAGGCGAUGAUCAGUAGCCGGUCUGAGAGGAUGAACGGCCACAUUGGGACUGAGACACGGCCCAGACGCCUACGGGAGGCAGCAGUGGGGAAUCUUCCGCAAUGGACGAAAGUCUGACGGAGCAACGCCGCGUGAGUGAUGACGGCCUUCGGGUUGUAAAGCUCUGUUAAUCGGGACGAAAGGCCUUCUUGCGAAUAGUGAGAAGGAUUGACGGUACCGGAAUAGAAAGCCACGGCUAACUACGUG
rnacentral:rRNA from 1 species